AUGGAGGCGGCCGUCGGCGUCCCCGACGGUGGGCACCAGGGCGGCGCGGGGUCCCGUGAGGACGCGACACCCAUGGACGCCUAUCUGCGGAAACUGGGCUUGUAUCGGAAACUGGUUGCCAAGGACGGGUCGUGCCUGUUCCGGGCCGUGGCGGAGCAGGUAUUGCGCUCUCAGUCUCGCCAUGUUGAAGUCAGAAUGGCCUGUAUUCACUGUCUUCGAGAGAACAGAGAGAAAUUUGAAGCGUUUAUAGAAGGAUCAUUUGAAGAAUAUUUAAAGCGUUUGGAAAAUCCACAGGAAUGGGUAGGACAAAUGGAAAUAAGUGCCCUUCCUCUUAUGUACAGGAAAGAUUUUAUAAUUUAUUGGGAACCAAAUGUUUCUCCUUCACAAGUAACUGAAAAUAAUUUUCUUGAAAAGGUGUUACUGUGUUUUUCAGAUGGAAAUCAUUAUGCUAUUGUGUAUCCCAUAAAGUAUAAAGAAAGCUCUUCUAUGUGUCAGUCUCUCCUUUAUGAAUUGCUGUAUGAGAAGGUAUUUAAAACUGAUGUUAGUAAAAUUGUGAUGGAACUAGACACGUUGGAAGUAGCUGCUGAAGACAACAGUGAAAUAUCGGAUUCAGAGGAUGACAGCUGCAAGAGUAAAACUGCUGCUGCUGAUGAUGUGAAUGGAUUUAAACCUUUGUCAGGCAGUGAGCAGCUGAAGAACAAUGGGAACUCUACUAGCCUGCCUUUGUCUAGAAAGGUUCUGAAGUCACUCAAUCCUGCAGUCUAUAGAAAUGUGGAAUAUGAAAUUUGGCUGAAGUCUAAACAAGCUCAGCAAAAACGUGAUUAUUCCAUUGCUGCUGGCUUACAAUAUGAAGUUGGAAACAAAUGUCAAGUUAGGUUGGAUCACAAUGGAAAAUUUUUGAAUGCAGAUGUUCAAGGAGUUCAUUCUGAGAAUGGACCAGUUUUGGUUGAAGAACUGGGAAAGCAGCACACAUCAAAGAACCUCAAGGCACCUCCCCCAGAAAGCUGGAACACAGUGUCAGGGAAGAAGAUGAAAAAACCUUCCACUUCUGAACAAAAUUUCCACUCUGAUAUGGAUUACAGAGGGCCAAAGAAUCCAAGCAAGCCAAUAAAAGCCCCAUCAGCACUACCUCCUCGACUGCAGCAUCCUUCAGGAGUAAGACAACGUGCGUUCUCCAGUCAUUCUUCGGGGUCACAGUCUCAGAAAUUCUCCAGUGAGCACAAAAAUCUCAGCCGGACACCUUCACAGAUCAUAAGAAAACCUGAUCGUGAAAGAGUUGAGGAUUUUGAUCACACAAGUCAAGAAUCUAUUUCGGCCUUUCCCCAGAAGAGCGCAGAGAGAACCAAGUUAUAGAAGAAUCCUGUUUACUCUGUGAGAUUCAGAACAGAGAUGAACAGGCUUUCCCAGCCCUUUCCAGCUCAUCCGUCAGUCAGCUUCUCAGAGUAGCAAUCCAUGUGUCCAGAGAAAGUCAUCACAUGUAAGUGACAGAAAAGGAAGCAGGCGGAGAAUGGAUACAGAAGAACAAAAAGACAAAGACUCUAUUCAUGGACAUAGUUGGAUAAAAGACCCGAACCAAGCACAUUGGAGAAUAUUACUGAUGAUAAAUAUGCAAGUUUCAUCACCAUCAAAGUCAAAGAAGUUAGAGUGCCCUUCUCCUGCAGAACAAAAGCCAGCAGAACAUGUGUCUUUGUCAAAUCCAGCUCCCCUUCUAGUUUCUCCAGAGAUACAUCUAACUCCUGCGGUGCCUUCUUUACCAGCCACUGUGCCAGCCUGGCCAAGUGAACCUAAAACUUUUGGACCAACAGUUGUCCCUGCUCCGAUUCCCGUUUUGUCAGUGACACAGACUUUGACCACUGGACCUGAUUCUGCUGUAUCCCAAGCUCAUUUAACAUCCUUCCAGUUCCUGUGUCAGUACAGGCAGUUAACCAGCCCUUGAUGCCUUUGCCUCAGACAUUGAGACUUUAUCAAGACCCACUCUAUCCCGGGUUUCCUUGUAAUGAAAAGGGAGAUCGAGCCAUUGUGGGGAGGACUUACCCAAAGAUAAGAAUAUUCUUCGAUUCUUCUUCAAUCUUGGUGUGAGGACAUACAGUUGUCCUAUGUGGGCCCCACAUUCUUACCUGUACCCUCUGCACCAGGCCUACCUGGCAGCCUGCAGGAUGUACCCAAAGGUCCCUGUCCCUGUUUAUCCUCAUAAUCCCUGGUUCCAAGAGGCUCCUGCUGCUCAGAAUGAAAGUGAUUGUACCUGUACUGAUGCCCACUUUCCUAUGCAGACUGAGGCCAGUGUUAAUGGUCAAAUGCCACAGCCAGAGAUUGGACCGCCGACAUUUUCUUCACCUCUGGUUAUCCCUCCAUCUCAGGUGUCCGAAAGUCAUGGACAAUUGUCUUACCAGGCUGAUCUUGAAUCUGAGGCCUCUGGGCAGCUUCUGCAUGCUGAUUCUGAAGAGUCGCGAAGUGGCAAGAAUAUGUUCCCCCAACCAUCCUUUGGACUCAAUCCAUUCUUAGGCCCAGUUCCUAUUGCACCUCCUUUCUUUCCUCAUGUUUGGUAUGGGUACCCUUUUCAGGGAUUCAUAGAAAAUCCAGUAAUGAGGCAGAAUAUUGUCCUGCCCUCUGAUGAGAAAGGAGAAUUGGAUCUGUCUCUGGAAAAUCUGGAUCUGUCUAAGAUUGUGGUUCAGUUUCAACAGUAGAUGAGUUUCCAGAAGCCAGGGGUGAACAUGUACAUUCUCUCCCUGAAGCAAGUGUGAGCAGUAAGCCGGACGAAGGCCGGACAGAGCAAUCUUCCCAGACAUGAAAGGCAGAUAUGGCAUUGGCUUCCAUCCCUCCUGUAGCAGAAGGAAAGGCUCAUCCUCCCACUCAGAUUCUAAACAGAGAGAGAGAAACUGUGCCUGUUGAACUUGAACCUAAAAGGACCAUUCAAAGUCUGAAAGAAAAAACAGAAAAAGUAAAAGAUCCUAAGACUGCUGCUGAUGUGGUCAGCCCUGGGGCCAACUCUGUGGAUAGCAGAGUGCAAAGACCAAAAGAAGAGAGUUUAGAAGAUGAAAAUGAAGUGUCUAAUAUUUUGAGAAGUGGUAGAUCCAAGCAGUUCUAUAAUCAAAUUUAUGGAAGCAGGAAGUACAAAAGUGAUUGGGGCUAUUCUGGUAGGGGCGGAUAUCAACAUGUGAGAAGUGAGGAGUCCUGGAAAGGACAGCCAAGCAGAAGUCGGGAUGAAGGUUGUCAGUACCAUUGAAAUGUCAGAGGACGGCUAUUUAGGGGAGAUAGGAGGAGAUCAGGGAUGGGAGAUGGCCAUAGGGGACAGCACACUUGA